UAGGAGUGAAGUUUGAUUUGCUCUAAUUGUAAGUGUCUCCACCUGAACAAUGUUUUCUGAACUCCUCCUAUAGUCAAGGGAGAGCUGCUACUCAGUGCAGGCAGGGAACACAGGAGUCUUCAGCUGGCCGAAUGUGUUUACUAUGAGAUAAAAUCUGUACAUGUUUUUGACCGAACUGGCUCAGUGAUUUAACUGCCCUGACAAAUCUUGGUCUAAUGUUUUGGCAGCUAGAUCAUCCAUGUUGAAGUGUCACAUGAAUACUUUUUUCAUUCCCUGAAGAACAUUAAUUUAAUAAACCAACAUGAGAAAACGAAACAAAACUUGAACUGGCUGUUAACUGUUUAUUUCUGUUUUCAUUGAACCAGUUCUACUGUUUAUUUAGAAGCUCUGAUCUGCCAAAAAGAAAAUACUGGAUAAAGGAGAGGGAAGAGAGACAAAAUUAUUGGCAAUUUCAGCUUAAUUUCUACUGGGAAAGUAUCUUAUAUUGUGCCUAAACAGAAGACUAUUAGGAUAUACCUGAAACUUUAGAAGAGGUUAAGAAAGGUGGAAUUGCUGAUUUAUUCUCAGUGUUGUGUGAUUUUCUUACUUAUCUGAACAAGUCUGGAAGUGUGUUUUAAUGGGCUUGAAUACUUCAGCAUUUCUAGUUCCUGCAUUUCAGAAAGAGUAUUAGAAAAGACAUGAAGAAGAGUGGCAAGAUUGAUCCACCACAUGGAAGAAACUGUGAAAACAGAGCAGGACACCUCUGCUUUCAGGACACCUCAGCUUGCAUGACAGAUGACUCAGUAGUAAAUUUUUCUAAGUACCAUGCAUGACAACAGUAAUUUUGUACUUACCUCCUCAUGAUACAAGAGCCAAGUGACAGCAGAUGAUGGUACCCAACAGUAAGUUCAAAGCUCACCUUUUCACAAAGUGUAUAAUGUACCAAAGGAAAUCAUCUUCACAGGCUGAUGCAGAGACCAAAAAUUUAGAUUGAAAAACUGAUUCAAGAAGGAUUUAAAAAGCAUAUGAAAAUAAUUGAUGAAAAAUCAUCAAGAUCUCCUAAACAAAAAGAUGCAGAAAACAUUUAUAUUGUUGCUAAAGAAAUGUGUCAUCUGAGCCAUUGUAAAGACUGAGACCAAGCAUGUUACAGAUGGGUUUGACGCUUACUCUGGCCUGGAAUAAAGAGCACCUGCUUCAACCCAAUGUGUGUUUGUUGCAUCUGCCAGACUCCUGGCAGCCACAACCUAACACUACCAAGUCCAACACUGAACUGUGUCACUGAGUACCAAAUCUAUACAUCUUUUAAAUACAAGUCAUUAAAAUCUUGAUUGCAAAUGGAAUACAAAUUAUGUUAGAGUUGCAGUAGCAUAAUUAUUUUAUACACAACAUGUCAAAGAAGCAUCUCAACUGAAAUUCACAUUGGCUUUGUGUGAAGAUAUUAAUGUUAACAUGAUAUGGUUCUCAACUGAACUGGUGUUAAGGUAAGUUAACACAAGUCUGUAGGGCUGGAUGGACUGCACCCAAGUGUGCUGAAGGAGUUGGCAGAUGUGCUUGCCUUGAAGGCCUGGCUCAUGUGAUCUCCUUCUAUGACAAGAUGACCCAACUAUUGGGUGAGGGAAAGGCUGGAUAUUGUCUACCUAGGCUUUUGAAGAGCUUUUGACACUAUUUUCCAUAGAAUUCUCAUGGAAAAACUGGCUGCUCCUGGCUGGGAUGAGCAUGUGUCUACUGGAUAAAGCACUGGCUGGAUGAAGGGGCUCAAAGAGUGGUGGUCAGUGUUAAUUCAGCUGGCAGCUGGUCACAAGUUGAGUCCCCUACAGCUCAGUAUUGGGACCACUUCUGUUUAACAUCUUUAUUGAUGAUCUUGAUGAAGACAUAGAGUAUGUCAUCAGUAAGUUCACAGAGGACACCAAGUUAGGUGGCAUUGUUGAUCUGUGUGAGGGUAGGGAGGCCCUACAGAGGGCCUUGGAUAGAUUGGAUCAAUGGGCCAGUGUUAAUGGGAUGACCUCCAAUAAGGCCAAACACAAAGUCCUAAACUUGGGCCACAACAACCCCCAUCAACACUACAGGCUUGGGGAAGUAUGUCUGGAAAGCUGUCUGGUGAAAAGAACCUGGGAGUUCUAAUUGACAAGCAGCUGAAUAUGAGCAAGUAGUGUGGCCAGGUGGCCAAGAAAGCCAAUGGCAUCCUGGCUUGUAUUAGAAAUGCUGUGUGCAGCAGAAGUAGGGAGGUGAUUGUCCCCUUGUACUCUGCUCUGGUGAGGCCACACCUCAAGUAUUGUGCUCAGUUUUGGGCACCUCAAUACAAGAGAGACAUUGAGGUGCAGGAGUGAGUGCAGAGGAGGGCAGUGAAGCUUGGAGAAGAGCCUGGAGAGUAAAUGUUAUGAAAAACAACUGGGAGAGCUGGGGCUGUUUCGUUUGAAAAAGAGGAGGCUGAGGGGAGACCUCCUCACUGUCUACAGCCACAUGAAAGGACGUAGUGAAGAGGUUGGUGCUGGUCUCUUCUCACAGGUAAUUAACAAUAGUAUAAGAGGGAAUGGCCUCAAGCUGCAACAGAAAGAGUGGUCAGGCAUUGGAAUGGCUGCCCAGGGAGGUGGUUGAGUCACCAGCUCUGUCAUUUAGAUGUGGUGCUCAGGGAUAUGGUUUAGAGGUGAACUUUGUAGACUAGGGUUCUCACUUGAACUUGAUGAUCCUGAGGGUCUUUUUCAACCUGAAUGUUUUUGUGAUUCUAUGAU